UUCGGGGUACUCGAGCGGCGAACGGGUGAGUAACACGUGAGUAACCUGCCCCAGGCUUUGGGAUAACCCUCGGAAACGGGGGCUAAUACCGGAUAUGACUUCUGACCGCAUGGUUGGGGGUGGAAAGUUUUUCGGCUUGGGAUGGGCUCGCGGCCUAUCAGCUUGUUGGUGGGGUGAUGGCCUACCAAGGCGACGACGGGUAGCCGGCCUGAGAGGGCGACCGGCCACACUGGGACUGAGACACGGCCCAGACUCCUACGGGAGGCAGCAGUGGGGAAUAUUGCACAAUGGGCGAAAGCCUGAUGCAGCGACGCCGCGUGAGGGAUGACGGCCUUCGGGUUGUAAACCUCUUUCAGCAGGGACGAAGCGCAAGUGACGGUACCUGCAGAAGAAGCGCCGGCCAACUACGUGCCAGCAGCCGCGGUAAGACGUAGGGCGCGAGCGUUGUCCGGAUUUAUUGGGCGUAAAGAGCUCGUAGGCGGCUUGUCGCGUCGACUGUGAAAACCCGCAGCUCAACUGCGGGCUUGCAGCCGAUACGGGCAGGCUAGAGUUCGGUAGGGGAGACUGGAAUUCCUGGUG
rnacentral:rRNA from 1 species